UCCUCAGUAGCUCAGUGGUAGUGCGGUCGGCUGUUAACCCACUGAUUGUGGGUUCAAAUCCUACUUGGGGAG